GGGGAAAAAGCCUUCUGACUCUGUCACAUCAUCACUAGGUGACCGAUCCUUGCUCAUUUGCUCUCACUUCAGCAGUCCUGGGAGGAGCAAUCAGUUCCUGCAGUUUCUCCAAGCAGUUCACCUGACUUCUAGCGGGUUUCUGGGGAGGACCCGGAUCCAGCCUACCUUGAAUAAGAGCUGUGAGGGAGAUGGCUAUGACUUUUCUGGUUCCACCUAUCGUGGGAAUUCACCCUGGCUCCAUGAAUGUGUGACUAAUUUCCUGGACAGGAGUUGCACUCAGUGCUCCUUAUGGGCCCUUUCCAACUCUGGAUAUUCUGUUGCUGUGGAUCAUCUGUUCUCCCACUCUAAAUGGACAACAACUGAAGAGAUGAAGAGAAACACAAGUGCUGUUGUAAAUGCCUGCAGACUCAAAUCCUGCCAGAGGCUCCAGGUGCAACAGGAGAAGCCAGCAGAGGGAGGCACGCCCAUUUUUACUGAAAGGAUUGGAAAAGGGUACUGGAGUGAAACUGCAGUUGUCUACAAACAGAAGGAUUCUUCCACUUGCCAGCCACACGUCUCUGUCAAGAAAAAAAGAAGUUGGAGCUGCCAUUAUGAAAUUUUAUUCAAACAAACUUUUGCAAAGGAGAAGAGUGGAAGACCAAAGACGGUGUCUUGAAAGAAAAUAGUCUUUAUUUCGAGGAUUGGAAGAAGAGAAAAAGUUAAGGCUAAGAAGAGAGUUGCUCAGAGGAGUUUGGCCAUAUUAAGAGCAGAGCUGGAAGUUAUCCCAACGUGUAGGAAGGACGAGAUGACAGCGAGAAACCAGCUCACCCAAUGAGAUGUUCAGUGACCUCAAACAAGAAACUGGUUUUGCAGGGCUGCUCUGUAAAUCAGAUCAACAAAAUGAUCUGUAUUAAUAAAGAACACAAGACCUGUUUUUGUCCUCCCCCCCCCUCUUCUCCUUUGUUUUUUGUUAGACUGAGUUGUUUCAUUGACACAGCUGAUAGUGUAGGCCUAUGAACUACAGCAUCAGCACAAC
ensembl:lncRNA